rnacentral:pre_miRNA from 2 species
UCUUAUGGAUGAGCAAAGAAAGUGGUUUCUUGAGAUAGAAUCUACUUCUGGUGAAGAUGCUGUGAA